rnacentral:rRNA from 1 species
GACGAACGCUGGCGGCGUGCUUAACACAUGCAAGUCGAACGGAAAGGCCCUGCUUUUGUGGGGUGCUCGAGUGGCGAACGGGUGAGUAACACGUGAGUAACCUGCCCUUGACUUUGGGAUAACUUCAGGAAACUGGGGCUAAUACCGGAUAGGAGCUCCUGCUGCAUGGUGGUGGUUGGAAAGUUUCGGCGGUUGGGGAUGGACUCGCGGCUUAUCAGCUUGUUGGUGGGGUAGUGGCUUACCAAGGCUUUGACGGGUAGCCGGCCUGAGAGGGUGACCGGCCACAUUGGGACUGAGAUACGGCCCAGACUCCUACGGGAGGCAGAAGUGGGGAAUAUUGCACAAUGGGCGGAAGCCUGAUGCAGCAACGCCGCGUGCGGGAUGCCGGCCUUCGGGUUGUAAACCGCUUUCGCCUGUGACGAAGCGUGAGUGACGGUAAUGGGUAAAGAAGCACCGGCUAACUACGUG